rnacentral:rRNA from 1 species
GGUAUAACUUAGUGGCAGACGGGUGAGUAAUGUAUAGGAAUCUACCUAGUAGUACGGAAUAAUUGUUGGAAACGGCAACUAAUACCGUAUACGCCCUACGGGGGAAAAAUUUAUUGCUAUUAGAUGAGCCUAUAUUAGAUUAGCUAGUUGGUGGAGUAAUAGCCUACCAAGGCAAUGAUCUAUAGCUGAUCUGAGAGGAUGAUCAGCCACACUGGAACUGAGAUACGGUCCAGACUCCUACGGGAGGCAGCAGUGGGGAAUAUUGGACAAUGGGCGAAAGCCUGAUCCAGCUAUGCCGCAUGAGUGAAGAAGGCCUUUGGGUUGUAAAGCUCUUUUAGUGAGGAAGAUAAUGACGGUACUCACAGAAGAAGUCCUGGCUAACUCCGUGCCAGCAGCCGCGGUAAUACGGAGAGGGCUAGCGUUAUUCGGAAUUAUU